GGAAAAAAUGGCUGCCGCCAUGAUGGUGCCUUUUCACAUCUUCUGCAAGUUUAUGUGACGACCUGUUUAAAGUUUAACAUUGACACGCGGUGGACUUCAAUGUGUAUGAUCUACUUAUGCUGCCACAAUGUAAAGGCAACAAUCACUGGGUUUUGCUGGUUGCAAGUGUUAUGUCCAGGACUGUAACCAUUUACGACUCGUUGGGUGGUAACAACAAGGCCUUGUUCGAUUUGUUCUGCCAGUUCAUGUGUCAAAGAGCGCAAAUUGUGAAAGAUGGCUUGGAAAAAUUCAGUUCAGAGUUUAAAGCGCCACCUUGCAACAAACAGCGCCAUGGAAACAGCUGUUGAGUGUUUGCAUUGAUGACUGCCAAAUGUUUGGUCAUGAAAAAGCAUCCCACAAUGUUGCGACAGGCCCAUGAUUCAGUUUAUCGAGACUAGUCGUGAGACGCAGACUUCUGAUUCAUGGAGUGCGGCAAACAAAUCUGUGCGACUCGAUCACUCCACUGUAAAGACCUGCACGGCAUUAAAAUGGAUAUUAUCAAUAUGUGUUGUUGCUCGAAAAUAUGUUUUUGUAGCAGGAAGUGCUUUGGGCUCGAUUAAUCUGAGAACUCAACAAAAUAUUAAUAAAAUCCUUCUGUGCCUUUAAGUUCUGAAAACAGAAGUAGCCAGUUGGUAUUACACAUCUCCUAAACAAGUACAGCACAAUAAAACUUAAGGUUUUAUAAUCCUAAAUUUUUAUAACAUCUUUAUAUCCACACAAAAAUAUUGAUGAUUGUGGUGCUCAGAUUGCAAAACCACCUGUUUGGCAAAAAUAAUGCAGAUGGUUAGAUUAUGAUAAGUGUAAGAAAAAAAGAAUAACUCUGGAGAUAAUAAUUGAUAUGAUAAUCAUUGCUUGACAGAAUCACAAUUGACCUAGAUAUUUAUUUAUGUAGUGGUGUAUUUUUCAAUGAGUGCCUUAAGAUUCCAAAAGCAUAUUGACUUAAAAUAAAUAAUCCCUAUGGCGUAAAUGACAUCAUUUCAUGUUCAUGA